GGAGGGUUUCUUUCUGGAGAUCCCUCUUUGAUGAAGCUUUUCCCUGUAAACCUCAACUUUUCUGAUACAGAGCCUGUGCUGACAUGUGGAACUACGGAGGUUAAUGCUAGAAUGGAGAUCCCAAUACUACUGAAAAGUGAUGAGAGGAGGUGGGGGGAUCUGUGCCUACUGGAGGCCUUCCAAAGUUACAGGAAACUAAGACUGGAGUAUGAUAACAGCAUAACUGGUGCAUGUGGUCCUGGGCUGUAUGCCAAAACAAAGAGGAGAGUGCGGGCAGGGGAAAGUAGGAAUAGCUGGAACGAAAAAGGUCAUGUUCUCAGAGCACCUUCUAUUGUAAUGCUGCUGCGCUUCAGCCACCCUCAGCUGUCCUUCAAGAGCCUCCUCAAGGCCCUUCUCUGCUGCACUGCCCACAAAUCACUGUCACCUGCUAGUCUUGAAGCUGGAGGCCAUCUGUGACCAUAGUGACUGCUGAUUUAUGGAAGCACACCCAUCUUCGUUGUUAUUCAUGCCACCUUUUUCACACAUUUUUCCCUUACUCCCUGGAUGUCUUGUCUUGGGAACAUGGAGUGCAAGGAGUAUGGGGCGGGAACUGCCUAAAGCAAUGAAUAUGAGGUACAAAAUAGAUGAAGUUGGACUUUGUGAAAGAUAUAUUGAGAAAUAAUAGUAUGUUUGGAGUAGAUACUUGUCAAAACAAGAUUGUAUCAAAUCUAAUUAUAGAGGAGAGCAUAUCUACCUAGGUAUGUAGGCCAGAAUCACUGAUCAAGCUAAAGACUGGAAGGACCAUGGAGACCUCUCUCUUGCUACCAUCAAAGCUUGACAAGCCUCCAUCUGACUGAGGGUAGCCUUGUGGCUUUGAUGUAUUUUCUUGUCUUUCAUAGCUCUCAGGGUGCAGUUGGCUCCCAGGGCUGAGCACAGCUUUGACGUUUUUGGGAUGUGGCUCAACCCCCAGUGCAGUGGCAGAGAACAGGGCCUGGUGUGAAAGAGAUUUUUUCUGGCAGACCGGUUCUGUGCCUCCUCUGACUGGAGAAUUCUCUUGAAGCAAGUUGGAAAACCUUUAUGGCUACCAUGUGUCUCUGGAAAGAAGCCAAGCAUUUACCCUUUUAUAAGCUGUAUAAGAGCAAGCUAGGAAUGUAUGUGGUAGUUCAAACGUUUUUGAGAAACAUGCUAUAUUCAACUACAGGCGCCCAAGCCUGCUGCUGCUGAAGCAAUAGUAGUGGGCUGACAUAGUCAGGACAAAAUUGCCAAGCUGUUAAGCAAGGGUUAUUUAUUUUUCAUAGCCGCAUAUGACACGUUGUCUCUGUCCUUCCUUCGUACACUUUUACGUACCAUAGCAGCAAUCUGAGAUGACUUUGGAGGAAACUGGUUUAUAUAACCACUGAUUUGCACUGCAGAAUCAACCUAGCCUUUUUGAUUUAUUUCCCAAAGCUCUCCUGCAUGGUUUCUGUCUUGAUUUUCUUGUCAACAUGAUUUAGUGCAUGAUUUAGUCUCUGGGGAUGCCUUGUGCAUUAUGAGAAACUGGUGUUACUGUUGUCCUAGCAGACUCAAGCAAAGGGCUGCUUUUUUGUGAAACUGUUCUAUGUUACAUAUGCUAAUAAUGUCAAACUUCUAAAGGAAAGUCUCCUGAAGCAAACCAAGGCUGCCUUUGCAAAGCAAUCUUUUUACUCUUCCCUGUAGUCUUAAUGUUUCCCUGUUCAUUGCUUUCCCUGAUGAACUGUUUUUGGUUUGAGCCUCUGCUGAUUAAUAGUUUCAUCUCAGUGCUCUAAUUUGAGCCUGCUUUUCGAGCAAGGUGCUGAGCACAUGCCAUGAGUCAGUGGGAGUGGCUGGUAUUCAGCACUUCAGCAAACCAGGAUGCUUACCUCAAUGCCUCAGUAUGGGUCUAGGAGCCAGGAGGCUGAGGCUCCUAUUUUUAUAAACCAGAGUCAUGACAUCCAAAUAUAUUAACUGGUGCGUUCUUUGAAUAAAUACAGCUAGUAUUUUUAAAAAAGAUGAAGUCACUUGAACAAUUUUAAUGAGACUUGGGAGGCCAGCUCCUGAGUUUCUCUGAAAACCCUGUCCUAUCCAAAGAGGAAUUUCUUUCCUCUGUGUACCUGCUCAUUAUGUGCCUGCUUGCUUAAAAUCACCAUGCCGGGCUAACAGGGACAUGGGGAAAGCCUUAAAUUGUGGGAAUGGUCAACAUGGUUAGAUUGCCUUAACUCUGAUUUCUGUGCGUGAGUGUGCUGAGCAUGCUUGGGAAUGUAAAAGAAGAACGAGAAGGCAACAGCAAGAGCGUCUGUGUUAAGCAUUUCUCCAAAAUGUCCUGUGAAUCCUUGGUACUACUGGCUCUCUCUAGUUGCACAACUUGACCCACUGAACAUGUCAGAACCUGCAGGCUCAGAGAGCUUUUUGCAGGUGGUGGCUGAGGCGAGGAGAAAAACAAGACAGCCUUUGAUAGGUGUAUGAAAUGGUGUGUGUGGAACUGCCCCCAUAAAUCCCUGUGCUGCCAUGGUGAUUUAUUGUAUGUGCGAACCUCAGAACAUGGAAAUGGAGCUGGUGCUGUGCUUGCUAAUAGCUGGACCUGAAAUGAAUUAAUGCAAUGUCAUAAUUCACUGAAGGAGCUCUGCUCAUGUCACAGAACCUGAG
ensembl:lncRNA